AGCUGAUCAGCAUGCCGCGUGUGUGAAGAAGGCCUUCGGGUUGUAAAGCACUUUUGUCCGGAAAGAAAUCCUUGGCUCUAAUACAGUCGGGGGAUGACGGUACCGGAAGAAUAAGCACCGGCUAACUACGUGCCAGCAGCCGCGGUAAUACGUAGGGUGCGAGCGUUAAUCGGAAUUACUGGGCGUAAAGCGUGCGCAGGCGGUUUGCUAAGACCGAUGUGAAAUCCCCGGGCUCAACCUGGGAACUGCAUUGGUGACUGGCAGGCUAGAGUAUGGCAGAGGGGGGUAGAAUUCCACGUGUAGCAGUGAAAUGCGUAGAGAUGUGGAGGAUACCGAUGGCGAAGGCAGCCCCCUGGGCCAAUACUGACGCUCAUGCACGAAAGCGUGGGGAGCAAACAGGAUUAGAUACCCCCGUA
rnacentral:rRNA from 1 species